AUUGAACGCUGGCGGCAGGCCUAACACAUGCAAGUCGAGCGAGCGUCGGACGGGUGAGUAAUGUCUGGGAUCCUGCCUGAUUGAGGGGGAUAACUCCUGGAAACGGUAGCUAAUACCGCAUACCAUCAGAUGUUCCCAGAUGGGAUUAGCUAGUAGGUGGGGUAACGGCUCACCUAGGCGACGAUCCCUAGCUGGUCUGAGAGGAUGACCAGCACAACGGGAACGGAGAAACGGUCAAGACUCCUACGGGAGGAAGCAGUGGGAAAGAUUGGACAAUGGGCGAAAGCCUGAGCAAGCAAUGCCGCGUGGGUGAAGAAGGUCUUCGGAUGGUAAAGCACUUUAAGUUGGGAGGCGUUACCAACAGAAUAAGCACCGGCUAACUUCGUGCCAGCCGCCGCGGUAAUAC
rnacentral:rRNA from 1 species